UACAGAGGGUGCAAGCGUUAAUCGGAAUUACUGGGCGUAAAGCGUGCGUAGACGGUUACAUAAGUCGGGUGUGAAAUCCCCGGGCUUAACCUGGGAAUGGCAUUUGGGACUGCAAGGCUGGAGUGCGGCAGAGGAGACUGGAAUUCCUGGUGUAGCAGUGAAAUGCGUAGAUAUCAGGAGGAACACCGAUGGCGAAGGCAGGUCUCUGGGCUGACACUGACGCUCAUGCACGAAAGCGUGGGGAGCAAACAGG
rnacentral:rRNA from 1 species